ensembl:lncRNA
UAUUACCAACCACUCUGGGAAGAUAAAAUUCCUCUGUAUCACAUAGAAAUAGAGACAGAUGAAAAUGACAGAGCUAUGAAUAUCUACAGAGAUAUAUUGAAAGAGAUCUACAUUUACAUUAUAUAUUUUCAUAUAUCUACAUCCAUAUCUAUAUAUCAUGGUAGAGAGGAUUUUAUAAUCCCAUCAAACCAACAAAAGAAAUAAAGGAAAACAUAGUGCAUUACUAGGUACGUGUCCAAAGGACAUGUAGGUUAGCCAAACAAGCUCUCAAUGGCCAAGGAGGGACCAAACUUGAGCACUAAAAUAACCAACACAGUUGUCUUCUUCACUUUCUGGUCUAUGAGACACAAUACCACACACACGAUUUAAAGGAGGAGAGCUUUAUUGACUCUCAGUUUCAGCUCUUGGUCAGCUAGUUUCAAAGCAGAAAAGAUGUAGUGGAAAUAUCUAGGCAGGGAAAGCUGCUCCUACCAUGGGGACCAGGAAGCUGAGGGGGAGACAGGAGCCCCUGUACUGAGAGGUCUUGAGGUCCACUGCAGCCAUGUUCAGAAGUGGGGCCUAGAGAAGUGAGUGGAUUAUGAGCAUGCUGACCUCAUAAUAAGCCAUUGGUGAACUCACAGCUGAGUGGGCUGUAGGAGGUGGAGAUCUGUUGGAGGAAGUAGGUGCUUGAGGAGGGGGUGUGCCUUUUAAGGAGAUUAUUUCAUCCCCAGCUCCUUCCUGUCUGAUUUUUCCCCCUACUAUCUCUGUUUUCUGACUACCAUGAGGUGAGCAGCUUUCCUCCGCCAUGCCUGUCUGCCAUGAUGUUUCUGCCUUGGAGCCAGCCAACCAUGGACUGAAGCCUCUGCAACCACAGUCACAACAAAACCUCUUCUCCUUUAAGCUGUGGAUGUCAGUGUCCUGAGUAGAUGAGAAUGUGGAAGAACAUCUGUGGACUCCACCCAUUCAAUGCUAGUACCACUACCGGCCUAUGCUAUGUCCCACCAAAGAUAUCUUUAGAUGACCCUCGGUGUCUAUUGGAGAUGAAAAUAGCCCUUAUGGAGAACCUUCACUCUAAAACAAUGAUGAAUUAAAAAAAAAAAAAGAAGAAGCAUGCCCCAUCUUUCCAUCUGUACCACACUAAAAACUGUCCCUGGUAAUGAUUCUCUCUGGAGUUACCAUGGAAGUUUUUUGCAUCCAUGUAGUAAACAGCUAUAGGUGCUUCAUAGAAUGUUUAGCUAUCCACAUUCUCCCGCAGAAUAUCUGCAUGAAGAUUCCUUUUUCAUUAUGAUGAGUGAAAUGGUCCCUCCGCCCUUGGUAAUACUCAUGACCCUGGGUUCAGAUGAAGGUUGAGGGUGUUCACAGACACCUGCCACGAAGCUAACCUUUGGUUGGCUGGUCACGCACUGCCACUGUCUCGACGUUCCUCGUGUUCCUUCACCUUCCCUGGUUGACCUGUAGUCUCUGAGAUAUUCUUCCAAGUUACAUCAGUGCCACUUCUGCCCAUGAGCUUAUUUCUCCAAAAACCCUCCCUAAGAAAUAUUAUUUGUCCUUCCAGGGCUGGGAGUGGUGACGUCCACUGCCCCUGCUCUCCAAGCCCCUAGACCUUCUAACAGCUCUUAAUUUGUUCACUUCUCAUGACAGUAAUCUGAGUGAGUGUGUGUUUGUGUGUGUGUGUGUGUGUGGAUGCACAUCUUCUCCACUAGAUUAUAAGUUCCAUCUGUGUAUAUGCCCCAAUGCCUCCUUUAAUAAAUGUUAGUUUCACACUGUCAGCACAAC